rnacentral:lncRNA from 1 species
AUGGAAAAAGGGGAUCCAAAAGCACACCUACAGUACACACACUGGGGCUCUCACACAUACAGUACACCUACAGUACACACACUGGGGCUCUCACACAUACAGUACACCUACAGUACACACACUGGGGCUCUCACACCUACAGUACACACACUGGGGCUCUCACACAUACAGUACACACACUGGGGCUCUCACACCUACAGUACACACACUGGGGCUCUCACACAUACAGUACACACACUGGGGCUCUCACACCUACAGUACACACACUGGGGCUCUCACACAUACAGUACACACACUGGGGCUCUCACACAUACAGUACACCUACAGUACACACACUGGGGCUCUCACACAUACAGUACACCUACAGUACACACACUGGGGCUCUCACACCUACAGUACACACACUGGGGCUCUCACACCUACAGUACACACACUGGGGCUCUCACACAUACAGUACACACACUGGGGCUCUCACACAUACAGUACACCUACAGUACACACACUGGGGCUCUCACACAUACAGUACACCUACAGUACACACACUGGGGCUCUCACACAUACAGUACACCUACAGUACACACACUGGGGCUCUCACACCUACAGUACACACACUGGGGCUCUCGCACAUACAGUACACCUACAGUACACACACUGGGGCUCUCACACAUACAGUACACCUACAGUACACACACUGGGGCUCUCACACAUACAGUACACCUACAGUACACACACUGGGGCUCUCACACCUACAGUACACACACUGGGGCUCUCACACCUACAGUACACACACUGGGGCUCUCACACCUACAGUACACACACUGGGGCUCUCACACAUACAGUACACACACUGGGGCUCUCACACAUACAGUACACCUACAGUACACACACUGGGGCUCUCACACAUACAGUACACCUACAGUACACACACUGGGGCUCUCACACAUACAGUACACCUACAGUACACACACAGGGGCUCUCACACAUACAGUACACACACUGGGGCUCUCACACAUCCAGUACACCUACAGUACACACACUGGGGCUCUCACACAUACAGUACACCUACAGUACACACACUGGGGCUCUCACACAUACAGUACACACACUGGGGCUCUCACACCUACAGUACACACACUGGGGCUCUCACACCUACAGUACACACACUGGGGCUCUCACACAUACAGUACACCUACAGUACACACACUGGGGCUCUCACACAUACAGUACACCUACAGUACACACACUGGGGCUCUCACAUAUACAGUACACCUACAGUACACACACUGGGGCUCUCACACAUACAGUACACACACUGGGGCUCUCACACAUACAGUACACACACUGGGGCUCUCACACAUACAGUACACACACUGGGGCUCUCACACAUACAGUACACACACUGGGGCUCUCACACAUACAGUACACACACUGGGGCUCUCACACCUACAGUACACACACUGGGGCUCUCACACCUACAGUACAAACACUGGGGCUCUCACACAUACAGUACACACACUGGGGCUCUCACACAUACAGUACACACACCGGGGCUCUCACACCUACAGUACACACACUGGGGCUCUCACACAUACAGUACACAGACUGGGGCUCUCAUCCUCCACCGCCAGUCCUUUGAGCUUAGACCAGUCACACCACUGA